rnacentral:rRNA from 1 species
UUUAUGGAGAGUUUGAUCCUGGCUCAGGAUGAACGCUGGCGGCGUGCCUAAUACAUGCAAGUCGAGCGAACGGACGAGAAGCUUGCUUCUCUGAUGUUAGCGGCGGACGGGUGAGUAACACGUGGAUAACCUACCUAUAAGACUGGGAUAACUUCGGGAAACCGGAGCUAAUACCGGAUAAUAUUUUAAACCGCAUGGUUCAAAAGUGAAAGACGGUCUUGCUGUCACUUAUAGAUGGAUCCGCGCUGCAUUAGCUAGUUGGUAAGGUAACGGCUUACCAAGGCAACGAUGCAUAGCCGACCUGAGAGGGUGAUCGGCCACACUGGAACUGAGACACGGUCCAGACUCCUACGGGAGGCAGCAGUAGGGAAUCUUCCGCAAUGGGCGAAAGCCUGACGGAGCAACGCCGCGUGAGUGAUGAAGGUCUUCGGAUCGUAAAACUCUGUUAUUAGGGAAGAACAUAUGUGUAAGUAACUGUGCACAUCUUGACGGUACCUAAUCAGAAAGCCACGGCUAACUACGUGCCAGCAGCCGCGGUAAUACGUAGGUGGCAAGCGUUAUCCGGAAUUAUUGGGCGUAAAGCGCGCGUAG